ACAAGGAAGGCAGAUCAAGGGAUGGGGAUGCAGAACCCCGGGUACCCUCAGCAGAAGAGGCGCUUCUGACAUCCCCCCUCCUGGGCACUAACAGAUAUAAAUGUACUCACAACAUCGUCAUGUAUGUGCGUCAGCCAGAUAGAUAUACAUUGUCUGGUGGUCGUCUAAGCCUGUUGUUGUUAUUGUUGCUGUAGAUUUAUAGUGCUUAUCUACUAGCUUGGUAAGUUAAAGUAGCUGUAAGGGUCAUUGUAGAGGAAAUUUGGAUAAUUUCCUUUCACAGUGGCUGAGUUAAGCUGGUGAUUAGGGCGGCGCCGCCGCGCUGAGGAAGGGGCCGUGGACGAGGCCCGGUGUAGUGAAGCCAGCAGAACAUGUACAGCUUUGAUUAGUACUGAUACAUGCAUUUUCGCCUCACCGUCACCGACGCCUCCUCCCUCUGGUCCAAGGCAGCCAUCGUGGUGAGUUCGAGCAGGCAGCGGGUGGCAGGCAGUGUGAGCGGCCUCCUCAAGCUCGGUGUCAUCGUGGAGAUCGAGUUUCGUAGCCUCCUCGCGCUAAGAAUGAAUGAGAGUGUUUGCAAAUGUAGUUAAUUUGGUCAAUCUUGCCUGAAGAUUCAUGGUGACCUUGUUCAUGUCAAAGGUAUCUCCCUUCUGAAUAUCACUUUUUUUUUGUAGUUUUCUAAAAUUUUAAAUGUGAUCCUUUUCUUUUGAAUGUCAUAAUGGCCUUUGAUACCACACAACUCUUGCCCCAUCUUAAGUUUGACAACCUUUUGAGUUGCUGAUAUUGGUACUUGAGCAGCAAUUAUUGUUUUUAGGCCUGAGAAAAUCAAAGUCACUCAUUAUGAGAUAUUGUAAAUAUGUUACGGAUUCAUAUAUCAAGUAUUUAUCAGGUAGCAGAACAAUCUAUUUGUUUCCUUUGGUAUUCUCUGCUUUGGUAAUAUCAUAUGGCAUUGAACUUGGUCUUUAUUUUAAGCGCAUGUCCUUAUUGGUAAAACUUAGUUGUAUGCCAAUGGCUCCAUCCACCAGCUUGAAUUUUCUCGAUUCAUUCAGGCUUUAUCUCCAGAGAUUUUGGCAUGUCCAGUUAUUCUUCUUCAGCAUUGAUUUUUGUGAAUUAACUCAGUGUGUACCUCGCUCCAAAGAUUUUGGCAUGUUUUGUAAUUAUUCCAGAGCAUAUUGAUUUUUUUGUAUUCAAUCUGACUUUACCUCCAGAUAUUUUGGCAUGUUUAGUACUUCAGUUAUGCUUCUCGAGCAACAUUGGAAUGGUUCUCAAACUACCUAUCUUGUGAUCACUUGAGCUUUGGUGAAAACUAGAGUGCAGCUUAAUUUGUCAAUAUAUUAAUUCAUGCAGUGGAGAAGGUAUGCCAAACAUAUUUGAUCAUUUCAGCAUUUAUGAACAAUAUAUAUGGCACUUAAACAAUGUAGAUUUGCUGAUAUUGUUCAGUGUACAUCUGUGUAUGCAUAUUAAUGAGCUCCAUAAAAUUGUGGUACAUGAAAUAAAUGCGAGAGAUAUGAAAUAACCAGGUUGUGGUACAUCUCUUCUCAAUUUUUUGCCCAUUUAGACUAUCUCGAAUGCAAUCUACCAUCAGGAUAUUGGCAUCUCAUCAUCUACUACUAUUCAACGAUUUGUCGAUUUUAUGUCUCUGUAGGUAUUGUAAGGUUUUUCAGUCGUGCGGCAUGUCUUCAUUACUUACCAUUUUCUAUCAUUUUCUAUUGCUAUAUACUCCCUUUGUCUCACAUUUUCUUUUGCUAUAUAGCUUGUCAAAAUCUUGUAUUUUUGUUGUUUCUUUGUUGAUUAGGUAGUAUGCGGCAUCUUCUUUUAAGCAUUUUAUUGGGCCUUAUUGGAUGUUCUUUCCUACUCCCUCCGUUCCUAAAUACUUGUCUUUUUAGAGAUUAAAAUGGACUAUCACAUACGGAUGUAUAUAGACAUAUUUUAGAGUGUAGGUUCACUCAUUUUGCUCCGUAUGUAGUCACUUGUUGAAAUCUCUAGAAAGACAAAUAUUUAGGAACGGAGGGAGUAGAUGUUUGUUCGUUUACUAGACAGUAUGCUACCAUGUUCUAUCAUGCGUACAAUUUGUGUGUGUGCCGUCUACCGUGUAACACUGUGUGUUACUUGUCCCAUUUUGUUUGUGCCAGUGCCUUUAAAUGUAUAUGUACUAAAGUUAGUCGAGUACAGUUACUAUCGAAUGGCACAACAUUUUGAUGCCUUACGGUUAAAAAGCUUAUAUCCUUUUGGUGUUUGCAAGGGGUCUGCUUGUGUUGCAUUUUCUACACCUGAGAAAGCAUCUCAGGCUGUAAGUUUGCAUAGCCUGAUUGUACUAUAUGUACUUAUGUUGCAUUUAUGAUGCCUUUAAUACGAUCCUAUCAAGGGUCCAGUUGUAUUUUGUUUGUAUAAGCUGCGCUGUAGAGCUUUAUGAAGGAUUCAGGAGCCAAACUUGCAGACAUUUAUGCUCAGGUGCUUCCAGCUUUGCAUUCCUAUUAGAGUUUUGUGGGGUAUGUUGGUUUGGUUUGGAUAUGCAGACUACAACAUAAAGAGAAGGAUACUAUUUUGUGUGGGUCAUCUAGCUUGGGCAUAGUAUGGGGUACUUGUGUUCUGUUUUUUUUUAUUUACAAAUGAACAUUGCCACUAACACAGAUUGACUAUUUAACCAACGUGAUUUAUUUCAUUCCAGUUGAUGCAAUGCAUUAGGUUGUGGUCUUUGUUAAGCAUGUGCACAGAAGUGUGAAGAGACCAAUUUUUUGUUUUUUUGUCGAUCCAGAGUGAUCACCUAUUGGUUUUGCACUGCAUCAACACUUUGUGACUUUUUCUUGUUAUCCCUUUGUUAAGUGGCCCUCCUGAAGGAGUCUAUAUGUCAAACCUUCUGAAGGCCCUCUGGAAUAUUAACUUCACCAAUAUAUAACAUGAAUCUUAAGGAAGCAUUUUGGAGUUUGGGCAGCAAGCUUGAAGGUGAUUUCGUUUACCAAUAAUUGAGCAUGUGGUCUGAGAAUGAGCAAGGACAAAAAUAUUCUUAGUGGGUGACAGCGAAGGUGUUUAACAAAUUGACAGGGGGUCUAGCUAAUAUAUACAAUGGCUUAGCUAGAUAAUUUAUAAUGUGUCAUGCGAAUUCUGUAGGUGCUGAUGUUUUUGUUUUUAGUUUUGAUCUAAAUGGCAUGAAAAAUGUUGAUUCAUUUCAAGCUUUCAGCCUCUCUACAGAAAAGAAAACAAAUAACUUUGACAACCAACUACUAUUAAUUUGCUAUUAGCAGAGGACCAACCUAUACUCUGUAGGAAGGGCGUUGAGGGGCUCCCACAAUACAAGGGCGCACAGCUCCACCUCAAGAGGCGCGCCAAGGGUGCGCCCCAACAUCUAGUUAGGAUGAAGCUACAAGCAAUAACUAGCUUUACAGUACAAUGUUAUAAGAGUCAACAACUAGAUUUACAGUACAAUGUUAGUAGUCUAGAAACUCUCGUGAACAAACAUAAUAUGAUCUGGAUCGUUGCUAUUUUCCUUCAUCGUAUUAUUAUUGAUAUAAUAUGCCUACCAGAUUAGGGUGUGGAGAAAUCAAUGAGAAACACUCUAAUUUCUCAGUUUUUUGGGUUCUCAGUAUGGUUUUGGUUGUCCGAGUUGUCGUGUUUGGUGUGUUUUGGUUGUCCAAGUUGUCUUGCUUCGUAUUGUUGACCCAAAUUGUGCUUGGUCGAUCUGUUUUUGUUGUCGUGUUGUUUCAUGGUUCUUUGAUGAAUCUGAUGCUGAUUGGAAGAGAAUCAUCCAGUACAAGUAUAGAGUGAAUACUCCUAACAUUCUUUGGGCAAAGGGAGAUGGUGGCUCUACCUUUUGGAAGAGCAUCACUUGGGCUUUAGCUGCUGCUAAAAAUUUCUACAGAUGGAAAUUAGGCAAUGGUGAAUUAAUUAGCUUCUGGCACGAUACCUGGGUUGGGGAAUGUUCCCUGAAGGUGCAAUUCUGGGACUUGUACUGUAUUUGUAACCAAACGGAAUGUACUGUGCCUCAGGUGUGGGACGGUCGAGAACUUAAGUUGUCUUUUAGAAGAUGUGUAGAUCAAAAUGGGAUGAACAGAUGGGAUGUGCUGUCUAGGAUUGUUCAACAGUGCAUUUUAUCAGAUGAACCUGAUAUGCCAAUUUGGUCCUUAGAGCCUAAUGGUUUAUACUCUGUGAAAUCCUUUUAUAAAAGUAUAAACUUUGGGGGGAUAGCUUCUGCUAUCAAAGAUGAUCUUUGGAAAAUCAUAUGCCCUCAGAAAAUACAUGUAUUUUUGUGGCUGUGUGCUCAUAAUAAAAUCCUGACCAGGGAUAACCUUUCCAAAAGAAGGGAGGUUGAAGAUCCUUCAUGUCUAUUUUGUGCAGAGCCCGAGUCUGUUCAACAUCUGAUGUUUGACUGUGUAGUUGCUCGACAUGUGUGGAGAUUUGUAUCCGACUUCUUUGAAAUUGAUAGAAUUGCUAGCUUUGAUGAUAUUUUUGCUUUCUGGCAAGUACAUAAGAAAAAGCCUGUGUUUAACAUGGUUAUUGCUGCUUCCUUAUGGAGCUUGUGGAGACUAAGAAAUGGUUUCUGUUUUCAGGGGCAGAAAUGGAGAGACGUGAACUGCAUUCUUACAAAGCUAAGCUGUUAUUUGCACCAGUGGAAGGUUCUCUGCGACGAUGCUCAAGCAAUUCUGCUGCAAAGGUGCAUCCUCCUGCUGGACAAAUGGCAUGGAGAGCUGAUGCGGAUAGCCUGGAAGUGAGUUGUGGGAGGAGGGCAUGAGAGCCGCGCGAGUCAAAGAUUCUGCUUUGUUUCCUUCUCUCUUCUGUUCUGGUUAUGUAAUAAGUACUACCUAGUAUUUUCUUCAUGUUUCGGUGGAGAGAACUUCUGCUCUCGAGCGCUAGGUAGCGUAGCCUCCUGGUGUGUUGCUUUAGUCGUACUUUGAUCUGGUUGUGACUGCUGUUUUCUGCUUCAAUCUAUAAAAUUGGGGCCGGGGGGGCAA